GUGCUCACUUCGGCAGCACUUACACUAAAAUAGGAAUGAUACACAGAAGGCGGGUGUGACCGCUGUGCAAGAAUGACACACAAAGAUGUGCAGUGUUCCAUAAAUAU
ensembl:snRNA U6 U6 spliceosomal RNA